rnacentral:rRNA from 1 species
AGUGAACGCUGGCGGUGGGCCUAACACAUGCAAGUCGAACGGCAGCACAGUAAGAGCUUGCUCUUACGGGUGGCGAGUGGCGGACGGGUGAGGAAUACAUCGGAAUCUACUUUUUCGUGGGGGAUAACGUAGGGAAACUUACGCUAAUACCGCAUACGACCUACGGGUGAAAGCAGGGGAUCUUCGGACCUUGCGCGAUUGAACGAGCCGAUGUCGGAUUAGCUAGUUGGCGGGGUAAAGGCCCACCAAGGCGACGAUCCGUAGCUGGUCUGAGAGGAUGAUCAGCCACACUGGAACUGAGACACGGUCCAGACUCCUACGGGAGGCAGCAGUGGGGAAUAUUGGACAAUGGGCGCAAGCCUGAUCCAGCCAUACCGCGUGGGUGAAGAAGGCCUUCGGGUUGUAAAGCCCUUUUGUUGGGAAAGAAAAGCAGCAGGUUAAUACCCCGCUGUUCUGACGGUACCCAAAGAAUAAGCACCGGCUAACUUCGUG